rnacentral:rRNA from 1 species
GACGAACGCUGGCGGCGUGCUUAACACAUGCAAGUCGAACGGUGAUGCUCCAGCUUGCUGGAGUGGAUCAGUGGCGAACGGGUGAGUAACACGUGAGCAACCUGCCCCAGACUCUGGAAUAAGCGCUGGAAACGGCGUCUAAUACUGGAUACGAAACUGGCCCGCAUGGGCAUGGUUUGGAAAGUUUUUCGGUUUGGGAUGGGCUCGCGGCCUAUCAGCUUGUUGGUGAGGUAAUGGCUCACCAAGGCGACGACGGGUAGCCGGCCUGAGAGGGCGACCGGCCACACUGGGACUGAGACACGGCCCAGACUCCUACGGGAGGCAGCAGUGGGGAAUAUUGCACAAUGGGCGAAAGCCUGAUGCAGCGACGCCGCGUGAGGGAUGACGGCCUUCGGGUUGUAAACCUCUUUCAGCAGGGAAGAAGCGAAAGUGACGGUACCUGCAGAAGAAGCACCGGCUAACUACGG